AAGCCAGACUCCUACGGGAGGCAGCAGUGGGGAAUAUUGCACAAUGGGGGAAACCCUGAUGCAGCGACGCCGCGUGAGUGAAGAAGUAUUUCGGUAUGUAAAGCUCUAUCAGCAGGGAAGAUAAUGACGGUACCUGACUAAGAAGCCCCGGCUAACUACGUGCCAGCAGCCGCGGUAAUACGUAGGGGGCAAGCGUUAUCCGGAUUUACUGGGUGUAAAGGGUGCGUAGGUGGCAUGGCAAGUCAGAAGUGAAAGCCCGGGGCUCAACCCCGCGGACUGCUUUUGAAACUGUCAGGCUGGAGUACAGGAGAGGUAAGCGGAAUUCCUAGUGUAGCGGUGAAAUGCGUAGAUAUUAGGAGGAACACCAGUGGCGAAGGCGGCUUACUGGACUGUAACUGACACUGAGGCACGAAAGCGUGGGGAGCAAACAGGAUUAGAUACCCCCGUAC
rnacentral:rRNA from 1 species